GCCAAUGUGGCAUAGUGGUUUGAGUGCUAGACUAUGAAUCUGGAGACCAGGGUUUGAUCCCCAUCUCGGCCA